UACGGGGGGGGUAAGCGUUGUUCGGAAUUACUGGGCGUAAAGGGCUCGUAGGCGGCCAACUAAGUCAGACGUGAAAUCCCUCAGCUUAACUGGGGAACUGCGUCUGAUACUGGAUGGCUUGAAUCCGGGAGAGGGAUGCAGAAUUCCAGGUGUAGCGGUGAAAUGCGUAGAUAUCUGGAGGAAUACCGGUGGCGAAGGCGGCAUCCUGGACCGGCAUUGACGCUGAGGAGCGAAAGCCAGGGGAGCAAACGGG
rnacentral:rRNA from 1 species